rnacentral:rRNA from 1 species
AACGAACGCUGGCGGCAGGCCUAACACAUGCAAGUCGAACGCUCUCUUCGGAGGGAGUGGCAGACGGGUGAGUAACGCGUGGGAAUCUACCCAGCUCUACGGAAUAACGCAUGGAAACGUGUGCUAAUACCGUAUACGCCCCAUGGGGGAAAGAUUUAUCGGAGUUGGAUGAGCCCGCGUCUGAUUAGCUAGUUGGUGAGGUAAUGGCUCACCAAGGCGACGAUCAGUAGCUGGUCUGAGAGGAUGACCAGCCACACUGGGACUGAGACGCGGCCCAGACUCCUACGGGAGGCAGCAGUGGGGAAUAUUGGACAAUGGGCGCAAGCCUGAUCCAGCCAUGCCGCGUGAGUGAUGACGGCCUUAGGGUUGUAAAGCUCUUUCACCGGUGAAGAUAAUGACGGUAACCGGAGAAGAAGCCCCGGCUAACUUCGUG